UACGAAGGGGGCUAGCGUUGUUCGGAAUUACUGGGCGUAAAGCGCACGUAGGCGGAUCGAUCAGUCAGGGGUGAAAUCCCAGGGCUCAACCCUGGAACUGCCUUUGAUACUGUCGAUCUGGAGUAUGGAAGAGGUGAGUGGAAUUCCGAGUGUAGAGGUGAAAUUCGUAGAUAUCUGGAGGAACACCGGUGGCGAAGGCGGCGUCCUGGACCAACACUGACACUGAGGAGCGAAAGCCAGGGGAGCAAACGGG
rnacentral:rRNA from 1 species